UACAUCUAUAACUUUAACUAUUACUACAUAUAUGAUUACAACUUAUUACUUUCCACUACCUAGACUAUAGUUUCAACUACAAUAUCAUUAUAGUUCCCACAUUGGAAUUUUGGAGUAUAAAAUUGUACAAUAUAACCAUUAAAAUAUUGAUACUUGGUGCAUAUAAGUACCCAAGUAAACACAAUUGAUGUACCAUUGGGUAUGUCUUAUAAGGAUACAAUUAUAAAACCAUACAGCUUUUGAAUUAUAUAUAAAUCUUGUAUUUUAGAUAAUGCCCAUUAAAUAUAUCUAUAAAACACCGCCUACUUAACUCUAGUUACACAUUUGAGUUUCAAUUGAUUUAAUUGAGAUUAAUAAGUAAGAGUGUACAUUGUGUAGAAGUCUUGUUCCAUAUAAUUGUACAAAAAUGUUUAUGGAGAAAACUGAGGAUUCAUAAGGGAUUGGCCAGCUUUUAAUAUGGUAUUAUUCCCACUUCACACAUAUAUUUUGAAUUUUUGUCAUUUUUAUUGAGAUAUUUUCAUUAUAGAAACAUAUGGAGAGUUAUAUAAUACACAA